CCCUUCCAAAAAGCACUUGCUUUGCCUGUUCUCAGUGGCUUGGUGAGUUGUCAAGGGAGGCAAAGAAACACAUUGCUUUUGGGUGAGGUGGCAGCUUUUAACGUGCUGUUCAAUCUCAAUCAGUGAUGUGACAUUU